rnacentral:rRNA from 1 species
UACGUAGGUGGCAAGCGUUGUCCGGAAUUAUUGGGCGUAAAGCGCGCGCAGGCGGUCCUUUAAGUCUGAUGUGAAAGCCCACGGCUCAACCGUGGAGGGUCAUUGGAAACUGGGGGACUUGAGUGCAGGAGAGAAGAGUGGAAUUCCACGUGUAGCGGUGAAAUGCGUAGAUAUCUGGAGGAACACCGGUGGCGAAGGCGGGUUGCUGGGCCGACACUGACGCUGAGGCGCGAAAGCUAGGGGAGCGAACGGG